GGUUACUACAUGAUUCCAUAUGUGUUAUUUCAUAGUUUUGGUGUCUUCAAUAUUAUUUUACAAUGUAAAAAUAAAGAAAAACUCUUGAAUGAGUAGGUGUGUCCAAACUUUUGACUGCUACUGUAUGUUCAUUAUUUUAUGCUCUGGAAUUGCAUUUACCAUAGUGACAAGAGGACAAUGUUGAUCAAGAUCAAUAGCUAAGUUAAAAAGUGGUAUAUUCAUAAUGACAUUAGAUAAACCAACAAACAGAAAUCUUUGUAUCUAGAGUAAGAUAGGUUUUUUUUUGCACUUUACUGUAAUAAAUGUUUAUUUACAAGUUUAUUCUUCUGUCUUUGCCUCUCUAACCUGCAAUAAGACAACCAUCUCAUGCCCCAUUCCCAGCCCUCUCUCCAAGCCUCAGUCCUCUCUCCAAGCCCCAUCCCUAGCCCUCUCUCCAAGCCCCAACCCCCAGCCCUCUAUCCACCCCCAUCCCCAGUCCCCAGACCUCUCUCCAAGCCCCAGCCCCACUAUCCAUCCAUCCCCAGGCCCUGGCACAGACAUGGUAGCAAACACCCAGACUCCCCCAUGCGGCUGCAUGCCUAAUGAAUCGAUGAUAGGCUUUCUGUGGUGCAAGGGCAUGUGUAUCUUUGCUUUAGCUAAUGGAUACAUGUUUAUUGGUAGGCCUAUUUGUUCAUCAUUUUCGUUAAGCUUAUUUCACGAAGCUAUACAUGGUGUUUCAAUGCUAUCAUAUUUACACUGCUGGUGGCAAUGAUGUAAUUACUUGUUCAGUAAUUACAUUUGGAAAUUCAAACCUUGCAGAUUGUAAAAUAAAUGUUUGCUGCAACUAAUACUAAUCAGCUACCAUGAGAUGUUUUAUAAUAUGCACCUGUCCUGUGUAGGCUGCAUGACAUGAGCCGCCCCCCGUGCUCUCUCCCAGCUUGGAUGGAAAGCUGUUGUGCGUUAAAAAAAAAACAGUUUAACAAUGCCAAAUAAUAGUCAGUCCACCUUCAAAACACUAGCUUCCUGGGGAUUGUUUCUUAAUUCAGUACACUAUCUAUAGCCAUCUAUUGUAUUUAGAUGCUAUUUAUAAACUUUGUAUAAAAACUACACAGCAGCUAAUGGUCAUCCUCAAUAAAUACAAAUAGCCGAACAAUGAGGAAAAAAGUAGUUGGCUCGAGGAUAAAUGAAGCAACUAUUUAUUGUUGAACUCGACAUAUUUUUUUCUGGCUAAUAGCCUACACAAAUGGCCUGCAAUAUUCAGGGUAAAUGACAUGAAAUCCAACUUCAGAGAAUUCCCUGGAGAAAACAAAUUCACCAUGGCCUGUCUGUCCAGGAUGCGGGCCCGACUGUUUUCUAUACCGAGUAUUGCCAACCCAGACAGUCUUUCCUGAAACAUUGUGCAUUGUAUGCCUAUGUCCACUGUGAUGCACACAAUUUAAACGUAGUUUUGAAUGGUGCGUGCGAAGACAUACCAGAGGUAAAGGACUGCUGAUAUUUACGACCACACAACACAAACGGAGGUUCACCAGAAUGAACAAAAUCGCAACCCUCUUUUUUUUGUCCACUAAACAUGAUCAUCUGUUUGCAUCUGCCAAUGUAUUGGCUGUCCAGUAUCCAGACGACCUGUACAAUUAAUCUCUUUCCGUAACGUGUCGAGGCCGGCAAUUAAGGAGAAUGAAUUUGAAGCCCAACUCCCUUCGGCCCAGUUUCCCUGAAGUUUCCCAAGGUAAUAAAGCAGUUUUUUUUUACCAUCCUGUAACUGUCGCUUCUGCGGAGAGAUUGUUUUCUAAACUAAAACUCAUGAAGAACUACCUCAGAAGCAUUAGGCUCUUGUUCUGAUAUGCCUUUUGAGCACCUGUGUAAGCUCCACUCAUUACACAGGGUAGCCUUGACCUCGCCAUUUGUCAACCGAUAUCCUCUUGUGCGUUCAAUCAGUAUUUUAUUUUUUAUUUGUCAAGACCCGAGUCACUUUUUCAGUCAUAUUCUGAUAGAGGAAAAUAUAGAAUAUACACAUGGAACAACUGUUAGAACUGUUUGUUUAGUGCAAGGGUAUUUUAGAGGCAGGCUCACAUAUGGAACCUUAUGAGAUGUUUUUUAUGGGUUUGAAUUAUACAGGUGACUAUUUCUAUUCAAAAGAUAAAGGGUUCUUUAUGUCUAAUAUGGUAUGACCUUUUGACCUUAUCAUGACUGGCUCCCAAGGUCUGAUCAGCCUCGGGGGAGAGUCAUUUGUAUAAUGAAUGGGGUCAUAUUGAGUUACUAGUAUUAAGGUAAAUUCAUUAGAAAUGAAGCAGUUUUGGUUGAGGGUUAGAAUUACUGUUUGAACCGCAAAUGAGAAAGUGGUUCAGGAUUCUGUCUUAUAACAUUAGCUGUGAAGUUUUUUGAAUGGGCUAUUGGGGAUUUGGUAUUGUAACAGAGAGAAAGUCAUAUUUAUCAUUGAGAAUAAAUAGUGGAAGAUAACAUAUUUAGAGCCAACAGGGCAGGGAAGAAAUUGAGAUAUUUUUGUUUGGUUUUAACACUCGGUUACAGGAGUGUCAAAAGACGGGGGGACAUUACCUGUGUAAUAGGGGAGGGUGUCCGUAUGAUAACCAACUUGGGACAGUUUUGGGACUGGAGAAAGGGGAUCCCACAAAGGUGGAUAGGCUUUCCAUAAUAUGGGGGAAACCUGGGAGCACUGUUGAACUUUGUAAAGGUGAUGAAAUCCUACUAACCAUCAAAACUAUUAAGCUCUCUGAUGCAGGCACUUGCACCCCCGGAUUACAAAGGACCGGGACAGACACGGUGGGUGUGUUUUCUAUUAAGGUACUGCCAAAACCGGAGGUCUCAGACGGACCGGGGCCAGACACACUCCUCUAUCACCCCUGGACCGAACCUGUCACCACUAUGCUAAAAAUCCCAUUCAGGUAAUUAAUGUUAGACUAUUCAGCUAUUGAUCAAUGAGGCACGGAGACUGGUUUUGAUGGUAGGGACAAUUUGUGGCUGUCUUAUACAGAAUGGACUUGCUUAGAAUAUGCUUCUUGCUAGUCAGGGGGGAGUCUACAAAAUGUUCAGUGAACAAUGUUGUACGUAUAUCCCUAAUAACACCAGUCCAGAUGGUAGUAUAUCUAAGGGCCUUAAAUGGGCUAUCUGCUGAGAUGAGGACCAUGGCGGGGGUAGAGGAGUCUGACUGUCCACCUUGGUUGGGAGACUGGUUUGGUAAGUAUACCGGUAUGGUGGUUACUGGAUUUCUGACCCUAAUUCCUGUAUUAUUUACUGACUGAGGAUGACCCAUGUAUGUUUGUUCUCCCUGUCGUGAAGGGUGGUAUGGUGCCCACCUGAUGCUGGAUAAGAAUAGCUGAGAGGACCAGAUGGGUUAUAAGAAUGCUUUGUUCUGCUUUACUCUGUUUUCCAGGACCAAAGUUUUAUUCCACACUUUGCAACACAUAUUAAACCCAUGUUAUUGUCGGAUAGAAUACUGAGGUUCCCCAAGGAGAGGGCUUGUUAGUGUAGGAAGGAUUUUUAAUAUGGUUAGCAUCUAUUAGAUUAUACGUUUUUAAAUAGUAUUAUAUUUAACAGGAAUAUAGGACAUCUAUGAGGAGUUAGGAUUAUUGUUGGGAUUAAGAUAGAUUGAUUAAGGAAUUUGGAGAAAAGCCGCUCAUAGACAUUUUUUUUUCUAAAAGAGGGUCCAUGGGUUUGUAGUUCCCAUGUAGUUCAAAUUUGGAAAACAUGAGAAACAUACAGAGGAGCCCUCCCACGCACCGCAGAGACCUUGAAGGUGGGAGAGCAGAUAAGUUAGGGGGGUGCAGGAAGAGCAAAGAUAACAUAGUGGGUAAAUAAGUUUCUAAAUGGGUCAGAAUGGGAGCUGUAGAUAGAGGAGGUAUUUGGCAUAAAGGGAAUCUACCUGUUUUACCUAAGUCACUGUUUAAAUAUGCUGCUGUAUUGAUACAUGGGCAAAGCCAUGUAUCAACAGGGGGGAUGGUAGGAAUGGUUAAACAGCACUUUGUAGCAUAUGGAAUAACUAACUAUUUUAAAAACUUUUGCUCACGGUGUACUAACUAGGAGUGAAAACAAGAAGUGGUGUUUAACAAUAAUUGAUAAAUAUACCAAAUGGGUGGUAGAGCAUUAUGUCAGGAGAUAAUUCCGCGAUUUGGAUUACCAGAAGUAAUUGAGCAUAUAGGUCAGAAAUUGGAUAUAAAUAUGAAGAAACAUAGUUCUUAUCACCCCCAAAGCGCUGGCCUUAUCGAGAACAUGAAUCGAUCGGUAAAAGGUUGAUUAAGGAAAACACACCUAAGUACUGGAAUGAACGGGAUAAAAUGCCUGCCCAUAGUGUUAAUGACUAUUAGAAUAACCCCUGAUAGGGAGGGGCUAUAACCCCUGAUAGGGAGGGGCUAUCUCCAUUUUGGUAGACCCUAUAGAGUGCCCCAAUUAGGGCGAUUAGAAAUAGAAAGCAGUAUGGUGGGACACAUGAGGAGGUUGUUCAUUAAUCAAACACGUAUGUCAAAAGUUUUAUGCCCAGCAGGAGAAUUAGAGGGAGGUGGCACACGAGAUUCAACCAGGAGACUGGAUCUGGAUCCAAUCAUUGAAGAAAAAAAACUGGAAGCAGCCUCGGUGGGAGGGACCAUUCCAAGUACUACUGGUGACUGCCUUCGCGGUUCCAUUUAAAUCAAGACUUCCUCCCUUUACCGUGACGAGAGGAGAAUAUUACUGUUUUGCCAGAUACAGUACACACGGGAAAUACGUGGGGGAAGUUGGUACCUGCAAUAAGACAGAGAAUAUUACCACUGACGAGACCAUGUCUGAUUUGACAGGCUGGUUGAACUCUGGAGAUUUCAAAAUGUUGAAGGUGGCCAGGGCUGACAUCUGGUGGUUGUGCAGGGGAAUUAAUUUGUGGUCGGUAUUACCGACUGAUUGGACUGGGCUAUGCGCUCUAGUACAUUUAGGAAUGCCUUUACACUCAUACAACACCAAGACGUGAAGUUAGCCAAAACGAGAGAGAUGCUCCAUCUGGGUCUUUUGACGACAGUAUAUAUUGAUAACAUUGGGAUUCCACGAGGUGUGUAAUUAUAGUUAUGGUAAUCAACAGCGCUUUAGCAGGAAUACCAAAGGUGUUGUUAAAGGUUUUGUAGAACAGACUGAAGCAACCAGCUGGAAGACCUGACAGAAUAGAAUUGCAUUAGAUAAAAGGAGGAAGUGGGCGUGAUAAUCAGGACCAUGUCUUACAUCCCAGGUAGCACGGCUCCGGACGAAUCAGUGCCCGAAGCCUCAGCUGGUUUGACCACCCUGGCUCACGGGUUGGCAGAAACUCUGGGGUGGAUACUUCUCUGAACUAAAUUGGGUAGACAGUAUUUAUGGAAAAAUGUGGUGUUUUGGGCUGUAUCAACCUGUAUGACUGUAUUAAUUUUAUGCGGCUGUUGUCUAAUUCCCUGUGUGCGAGGCCUUGUUUCCAGGACUCUGGAAAGAUCAAUGACCCAACGGAUGGUGCGUUAUGGGCCGAUUCCAGAUUCUGACCUGUGUAGGACUGGAGGCAUGUCUACAGAGGAAGUGGACGAAUCCGGAUCUGUCAUUUGUGGGGAAUUUAUGUUUGAUGAGAAUAGUGUUGACAUGAAGGGGAAUUAGAUUGUAAUUUGUUUCAAUGAUUAAACUGUUUUUUUGAUGAAGAUUGUAAAAAGAAAAACAAAAAAGAAUCCUGGAAGGAAGAGUUAUGAUUCUGAUGUAGAUUUAAAAACAGUUGGAGUUAAGGUUAGAAUUGAUUAAUGAAAUGUGGAGGGUUGGAUAAACAUUUAUAAUUGAUUUGUUGAUUAUGUGUCUAUUCAUAUGAUAAUCUGAUGAACCUCUAUAAAAAGGUUAGAUAAGCUCGUUUAUACUUUCAUUUUUUAUGAUUAAAUAAAAC